AGAGUUUGAUCAUGGCUCAGAUUGAACGCUGGCGGCAGGCCUAACACAUGCAAGUCGAACGGUAACAGGAAGCAGCUUGCUGCUUUGCUGACGAGUGGCGGACGGGUGAGUAAUGUCUGGGAAACUGCCUGAUGGAGGGGGAUAACUACUGGAAACGGUGGCUAAUACCGCAUAACGUCGCAAGACCAAAGAGGGGGACCUUCGGGCCUCUUGCCAUCAGAUGUGCCCAGAUGGGAUUAGCUUGUUGGUGAGGUAACGGCUCACCAAGGCGACGAUCCCUAGCUGGUCUGAGAGGAUGACCAGCCACACUGGAACUGAGACACGGUCCAGACUCCUACGGGAGGCAGCAGUGGGGAAUAUUGCACAAUGGGCGCAAGCCUGAUGCAGCCAUGCCGCGUGUAUGAAGAAGGCCUUCGGGUUGUAAAGUACUUUCAGCGGGGAGGAAGGUGUUGUGGUUAAUAACCGCAGCAAUUGACGUUACCCGCAGAAGAAGCACCGGCUAACUCCGUGCCAGCAGCCGCGGUAAUACGGAGGGUGCAAGCGUUAAUCGGAAUUACUGGGCGUAAAGCGCACGCAGGCGGUCUGUCAAGUCGGAUGUGAAAUCCCCGGGCUCAACCUGGGAACUGCAUUCGAAACUGGCAGGCUUGAGUCUUGUAGAGGGGGGUAGAAUUCCAGGUGUAGCGGUGAAAUGCGUAGAGAUCUGGAGGAAUACCGGUGGCGAAGGCGGCCCCCUGGACAAAGACUGACGCUCAGGUGCGAAAGCGUGGGGAGCAAACAGGAUUAGAUACCCUGGUAGUCCACGCCGUAAACGAUGUCUACUUGGAGGUUGUGCCCUUGAGGCGUGGCUUUCGGAGCUAACGCGUUAAGUAGACCGCCUGGGGAGUACGGCCGCAAGGUUAAAACUCAAAUGAAUUGACGGGGGCCCGCACAAGCGGUGGAGCAUGUGGUUUAAUUCGAUGCAACGCGAAGAACCUUACCUGGUCUUGACAUCCACAGAACUUUCCAGAGAUGGAUUGGUGCCUUCGGGAACUGUGAGACAGGUGCUGCAUGGCUGUCGUCAGCUCGUGUUGUGAAAUGUUGGGUUAAGUCCCGCAACGAGCGCAACCCUUAUCCUUUGUUGCCAGCGGUCCGGCCGGGAACUCAAAGGAGACUGCCAGUGAUAAACUGGAGGAAGGUGGGGAUGACGUCAAGUCAUCAUGGCCCUUACGACCAGGGCUACACACGUGCUACAAUGGCGCAUACAAAGAGAAGCGACCUCGCGAGAGCAAGCGGACCUCAUAAAGUGCGUCGUAGUCCGGAUUGGAGUCUGCAACUCGACUCCAUGAAGUCGGAAUCGCUAGUAAUCGUGGAUCAGAAUGCCACGGUGAAUACGUUCCCGGGCCUUGUACACACCGCCCGUCACACCAUGGGAGUGGGUUGCAAAAGAAGUAGGUAGCUUAACCUUCGGGAGGGCGCUUACCACUUUGUGAUUCAUGACUGGGGUGAAGUCGUAACAAGGUAACCGUAGGGGAACCUGCGGUUGGAUCACCU
rnacentral:rRNA from 1 species